UGCGGAGGAUCAUUAUCGUACAAAAUGUGUGAGGCAUGCAAGGGCUGUCGCUGACUUUUUAUAGUCGUGCACGCCAGAGCAUGUCCUCUCACAUAAAAUCCAUCUCACCCUUUUGUGCACCACCGCGUGGGCACCCUUCGGGAUCGAUUCGAUCCAGGAAGGGGGCUUGCGUUUUCACACAAACCCCUUUUUUAAAAAAA
rnacentral:misc_RNA from 1 species